rnacentral:rRNA from 1 species
UACGUAGGGUGCAAGCGUUGUCCGGAAUUAUUGGGCGUAAAGAGCUCGUAGGCGGCUUGUCACGUCUGCUGUGAAAACUCGGGGCUCAACCCCGAGCCUGCAGUGGAUACGGGCUAGCUAGAGUGCGGUAGGGGAGACUGGAAUUCCCGGUGUAGAGGUGAAAUUCGUAGAUAUCGGGAGGAACACCGGUGGCGAAGGCGGCGACCUGGGUAGAUACUGACGCUGAGGUGCGAAAGCGUGGGGAGCAAACAGG